CUGGUCUUAUUGGUUCUCACCUUCUAAAGAACCAUGAUGUCAUUCAUUUGAUGUUAUGGGGAAUUAGGACUGUUACCUUGAAAAAAUUAGAGUGUUUAAAGCAAGCUUACGCUUGAAUGCAUUAGCAUGGAAUAAUGAAAUAGGACAUCAGAUUCUAUUUUGUUGGUUUCUAGGAUCGAUGUAAUGAUUAAUAGGGAUAGUUGGGA
rnacentral:rRNA from 1 species